AGCUUGCUCUUCGGCGGUUAGCGGCGGACGGGUGAGUAACACGUAGGCAACCUGCCUGUACGACUGGGAUAACUCCGGGAAACCGGAGCUAAUACCGGAUACGUUUUUCAGACCGCAUGGUCUGAAAGAGAAAGACCUUUGGUCACGUACAGAUGGGCCUGCGGCGCAUUAGCUAGUUGGUGGGGUAACGGCCUACCAAGGCGACGAUGCGUAGCCGACCUGAGAGGGUGAUCGGCCACACUGGGACUGAGACACGGCCCAGACUCCUACGGGAGGCAGCAGUAGGGAAUCUUCCGCAAUGGACGAAAGUCUGACGGAGCAACGCCGCGUGAACGAUGAAGGUUUUCGGAUCGUAAAGUUCUGUUGUUAGGGAAGAACCGCCGGGAUGACCUCCCGGUCUGACGGUACCUAACGAGAAAGCCCCGGCUAACUACGUGCCAGCAGCCGCGGUAAUACGUAGGGGGCAAGCGUUGUCCGGAAUUAUUGGGCGUAAAGCGCGCGCAGGCGGCUUCUUAAGUCAGGUGUGAAAGCCCACGGCUCAACCGUGGAGGGCCACUUGAAACUGGGAGGCUUGAGUGCAGGAGAGGAGAGCGGAAUUCCACGUGUAGCGGUGAAAUGCGUAGAGAUGUGGAGGAACACCCGUGGCGAAGGCGGCUCUCUGGCCUGUAACUGACGCUGAGGCGCGAAAGCGUGGGGGAGCGAACAGGAUUAGAUACCCUGGUAGUCCACGCCGUAAACGUUGAGUGCUAGGUGUUGGGGAC
rnacentral:rRNA from 1 species